AGAACGAACGCUGGCGGCAGGCCUCAAACAUGCAAGUCUAGGGGGUGUAGCAAUACAUCACCGGCGGACGGGUGCGUAACGCGUGGGAAUGUACCUAUUGGUUCGGAACAACCCAGGGAAACUUGGGCUAAUACCGAAUGUGCCCGAAAGGGGAAAGAUUUAUCGCCAAUGGAUCAGCCCGCGUAGGAUUAGCUAGUUGGUGGGGUAAUGGCCCACCAAGGCUCCGAUCCUUAGCUGUUCUGAGAGGAAGAUCAGCCACACUGGGACUGAGACACGGCCCAGACUCCUACGGGAGGCAGCAGUUGGGAAUCUUGGACAAUGGGGGAAACCCUGAUCCAGCCAUGCCGCGUGAGUGAUGAAGGCCUUCGGGUUGUAAAACUCUUUCGACGGGGACGAUAAUGACGGUACCCGUAGAAGAAGCUCCGGCUAACUUCGUGCCAGCAGCCGC
rnacentral:rRNA from 1 species